rnacentral:Y_RNA from 1 species
GGCUGGUCCAAAGGUAGUGAAUUAUCUCACUUGAUUGUUCACAGUCAGUUACAGAUUGAACUCUUUGUUCUACUAUUUUCCCCUCUUCUCACCACCACACUUGAAUGGUCUUUU